rnacentral:rRNA from 1 species
AUUGAACGCUGGCGGCAUGCCUUACACAUGCAAGUCGAACGGCAGCACGGACUUCGGUCUGGUGGCGAGUGGCGAACGGGUGAGUAAUGCAUCGGAACGUGCCAUUGAGUGGGGGAUAACGUAGCGAAAGUUGCGCUAAUACCGCAUAUUCUGUGAGCAGGAAAGCAGGGGACCGCAAGGCCUUGCGCUCUUUGAGCGGCCGAUGUCAGAUUAGCUAGUUGGUGAGGUAAAGGCUUACCAAGGCGACGAUCUGUAGCGGGUCUGAGAGGAUGAUCCGCCACACUGGAACUGAGACACGGUCCAGACUCCUACGGGAGGCAGCAGUGGGGAAUUUUGGACAAUGGGGGCAACCUGAUCCAGCCAUGCCGCGUGAGUGAAGAAGGCCUUCGGGUUGUAAG